rnacentral:lncRNA from 1 species
AACUGACCCCACAGAGGAGUUCAGAGACUGGCAGCCAGUGAGUAGAAAGUACCCUGGGGAGACAGUGAUUCUCCCAGGGGCUGUGUAAGCUUGUGGUCCACAGAUAGUUCUGCAGGCUCUGAGAGAAGAAAUGACUGGGUCCCAGCUCCUUAGAAAUGGCCUGUCUGCCAGCAAAGCUCUAUAUAGUCUGUGGACAGUUCUUUGUAGACUAGCUGCCCCUCAGUAAAACAGUGGCCUCUCUUUCUUCAGAAAGACAUCUACACAAAAUCUAAACCUUCAGGUAGGGCAUAAAGUAGCCCUAUCUUACAAAUAUAAACAUACAGGUGGCUUUCAUUAUCAUUAACUUUAUUGAUUGCAAAUGUUGGAACACAUUUGGGGAAUGGAUGGGUCCGAUUUACUGUUAACCCCAGACAGGUGGGCAGAAGAGGCGGGGAUCAGACCUGUGACCCAGCUGGUCCUUGUGCAUCUGAGCAUCGCACACUGGACGGUGGGAUCAUUACCUCCAGGGCUUUGAAGUUUUUAUUAUCUUAACUGUGACUCGUUCUGAAAUUCUGCCUUAAUAAUUCCCUAAAGGUUUGUUCUGGACUAACCUGCUGGGACUUGUGGAAAGAAGGUUGAGAAUACUGUAGUUUAACAACCAAAAACCUGUACUUUAUAUAGCUCUUAUUUUAAAAAAGGGCUGCAGCCCCAAAGAUGAGCCCUCCAUAAAAUGAAGCUACAGAAGAUGGUGGCCAUCUGACUCUCAUGUGAUGCACAGAGCGCACUCUUUCACACUAGGCAGCCUCGGAUGUUGCUUUGAGAUGGAAGAGUUCUGGGACCUUACACUUGUCAGCUGCAUGAACUCGGAAUCUGCCUGUUGUGGCCUUUUAUAGGUGGGCUUCUGUGUGACACUGCAGUCACCCGGAACCCUGUGUGCUUAUCCCGUAGCAACGAUGGCCCUGCUUCAGACAUUCUUCUAGUUCUAGGAUAGCAUCCGCCCCUAAAGCUAAGUAUACCUACUGUCCUCCGCACAGAGCUAGUGUUCUGACAGCAGCAGCUCAGACCCCAGGCUGCUACCUGUGAAACCACGAUAGUCCACAGGACAGAGCGGAAUUGGGUAUGUAACUGAGAACGGAGGAUUGCAAUUUUAAACAGGCAUCAGGGCUGAUAUCCCCUGGGGAGAUGUAAGGACAGAGGACCAGGAAGCAGCCUGCCGUAAGUUCCAAGUCCACGCAGUUCUGUGGCUUUGUGGUCAGGCUGGUGGCGAUGGCACAGUCUGUUGGCCAACUUACCAUUACUGUAACAGAGCGCCUCAAGAGAGUCAGGCUCCUUUCUUUAAAACAGCUCUCUUGCUGUGUUAUCCAGCUUUGCCUAGAACUCGAGUUUUCCUGCCAUAGCCUCCAGGCUGCGAGCUUUCCGGGCUGAGGGAGGAGAUUUGCUUCCAGCUGUGGUGAUAUCAUCAGUCCAUCCUCUUGUUUGAAACACUGUGGCAUGUAUGGCAGAGGAGCCUUUUCAUAUCAGGCAGGAAUGGGCAAGAGGCAGCAGGAAACAGACCCAGGGACCAGUUUGACCAUCAGAGGCUUGCCUCCAGUGAAGGCCUUUCAUGACACCCCAUCUCCGCAGCGCCUUUUAGGUAUGGGCCUUUGUGUGACCGUAUAGCUCCUAACUACAGCAGCGGUGGGGGUGGGGAGAUGGAAGGUUGGAUAAGUUAGUUUCACAGGACUGAAACUGGGAUAGGCGUGGAGGGAGGGAGGUGGUAGCAGCGAGUGCUCUGAGCAAGGAGAACGGUGACAGGGGACAGCAUGUGUAACCAGGCAGGACACUGGCUGCAGGACUGAGUGCUGACUGCGGCAGUGAUGGGAGGUAACUACAUUCUAGACCUGUUCUGAAGGCCAAGUGCAUAAGGCUACCACACGAGUGCCUGUGGCUGGUCCAUUUAAACAGCACGUUAAGGCAAGCAGAACAUCUGUUUAAUGUGGCAAAGUCAAAUUUGUGCAUUCUAGAGUCAAACAGGGUUGGCCUCUAAGACCAAUUUCUCCUUUGUCCUUACAGUUGCCUGGGAAAGUGAAACAGAUCAAGGUGGCUGAGCUUGAAUGGACUUUACUGAAUUAAUUCAUUCUUUCUUUCUUUCUUUCUUUCUUUCUUCCUUUCUUCCUUUCUUCCUUUCUUCCUUUCUUCCUUUCUUCCUUCAAGGCUUUUCUAAAAGGAACUU